rnacentral:tRNA from 1 species
GGCGAUAUAGCUCUGUCUGGUAGAGUGUUUGCCUUGCAUGCAUUAAGCCCUGAGUUCAAACCCCAGCACCACCA